rnacentral:snRNA from 1 species
GUAAGUUGAGAGCAAGCUGUGCGUGACAUCUGUCAACCCCACCGACGGCCAGAAUCGAUCUGGUGCAUCUGCCGUGCCUGAAAGCUGUCCGCUUUCUUCCCGGCUCUGUCACAUGCGUCUCUCUCAAAGCCACACGCCUCACUGAAGAGGCUGAUGUGCCUAGACAGACAAGGACGAGGACCUGUAAGGAGUCAGGUUCUUCUGCAGGAGCAUCCAAGGCUCGUUACCUACAUCUCCCACUCGCUGUGUCUCUGCACUAGGCGAGGAGCCACUCGAA